rnacentral:rRNA from 1 species
UGGGCUUGAACUGUAGGCAUAGCUACCUGAAAGGGCUAGUGAUGUUUCUUUGAAACAACCUAUAG